rnacentral:misc_RNA from 1 species
GGAAGUAAAAUCGUAACAAGGUUUCCGUAGGUGAACCUGCGGAAGGAUCAUUCAUAAUAAGUGUUUCAUGGCACUUUUUUAAAUCCAUAUCCACCUUGUGUGCAAUGUCAGGGUUGAUUUUUCUCUCGAGAGGAUCAACCCCAAACAUCAACUAUAUCUCAACUCUUUGUCUGAAAAAUAUUAUGAAUAAAACAAUUCAAAAUACAACUUUCAACAACGGAUCUCUUGGCUCUC